rnacentral:lncRNA from 1 species
UUUGAAAAAUGUCGCACGUCGUACGAGUUGUCGCACGGUUUUGAUUUUACUGUUUCGAUAUCGAUUGGUCGAAAAGACGACAAACGCACGACAAAUACUCGACAUGCGCGACAUUGUUUUUUCCAUCGAUUUUCCUUAAUUUCGACGUCACGAUUUUCGUCGACGCAAACAGUUUGACAGUUUUCUUCAGUUGAUCUUGUUUGGACUUGAUUUCAACCGAAUUGAACCAGUUGUCGUUGCUGUUGGGCUACUGGAGGAUUUUGAUUUCGGUUUUCGUGGCGGUGAAGGACGAAGACGGGACAUAUCGUUAAUUCGGUGGGCCAUGUCCAUGGACUAUGCCGGAGGACGGUAUCGGAAGGAAUCGGUCUGCGAUUGAGAAAGCGGAUUGGUUUUUUGCUUUCCGCGGAAGUUGCAUUUCCAAAGGAGAAGGAGUGUCCGAGUGUUGAAUGUGUCGGAAACAGAAGGAGGGAGACGGAACAUUCAAGCUCGGGAGUCAAUCACUGUUCCGCGUGAAUAAAAAGAUGGAGGAGGACGGAAUAAUAAACUCCCGCGACGUUUCUAAACAGCCAGAAUUUGUUAAUGGAACCGUUCUGUACAAACAGUUUCCAGAGUGCAAGAGGAAAAGGACAAUGAUAAUGCGUUGGUGGUGUUGGACUUCUAGCGGAAUCUCAAAAGCGCCAUUAUCAAAACUCAGUCUUCUUCCUGGAGAUACUUCCGGCCGAGAACAUCCUCCGGGUGAAGGCGAUCGAGGUGGACAAACUUCCCACGGGGCAACACUCGAACAUUGGAAGGGUAGACAAGCAGAACCUUUCCAAAAGUGGUUGGUCAUCGUCGGACCAAAAGGAGUCGGUUUGUAUUUCCUUCUUGUGCAACGGCCAAUCCCGUCAUUAAGCGAAAUUAAGAAAAUUAUGGCUGCAGUGAUAGUAAAUAUUUCAAAAACAAAGUGCCAGGCCAGUGCAAACUAAUACAAAUGAAUAAACAUAAUCAAAAA